UCACCACCAUUAGAAACUGAGAGAUUCCUCUCGCAGAUCGCUUAUGGACCACUUGAGGAGAUUUUGAUACGCAGCUUGCGCUUGUGGCUGUGUUGACGUUCAUCGUGUGUCAGAAUAAGCUUUAAUGGAGCUCUCUACAUCUAUGAAUCCGUGGUGUCUUAGAGCCUGAAAUCUACUGAAUUAUUUGUAGGUGAAGUGCUUAUGUUGUGAGAUACUCUUGGAGUGUUUGUUUGUGUGCGUUGCUGUUGUUAGAGUAUACGCUCGCAUGACGGCAAUUGUAGCGCCCUUGAUGUUUCUACAGCCGACCAAGCUCUUGCGUGGAGAACGGAAGACGUACCAAUGUCUGCCAAUUUGGCUCGCUCUAGGAGGGGGAGUCAGCUUUGCUUGAUUCGGGCCACUGUUGGAGCAUAGUGAGGAGUAUUGUUUAGACGAGUUAAAGAAAAAUGGCAGCACAAGCAAUGAUGCGCAAAGCUGCGCCAUGCGCAAUGCGACAGUUAAAAUGCAUCACAGUGGACGUUACUGGCACCUUGAUAGCAUACAAGGGGCUUCUGGGAGAUUACUACUGUAAAGCUGCCAAAGCCGUGGGCGUCCCUUGCCCCGAUUAUGAUCAAAUGCACGAGGGCUUUAAGGUUGCGUACACGGAAAUGGCCUCAAAGUAUCCAUGUUUUGGCCAGGCCACCAAGAUGUCUAAUAGAGAUUGGUGGCGGACGUGCGUUCGAAACUCUUUCCGCGAGGCUGGCUAUGACUACAGUAAUGAAAUCUUCGACCAUGUGUUCAAGAGAAUCUAUUCCAUGUUUGGGUCCACUGCGCCAUACAUGAUCUACUCCGAUGCACAGCCUUUCUUGCGAUGGGCGCGAAAGCAAGGGAUUGUAGUAGGAGUGGUGAGCAAUGCUGAGUACCGGUACCGUGACAUCAUAUUGCCGACUCUAGGUCUCAAUCAGGGUUCGGAAUGGGACUUUGGAUUGUUCUCAGGUAUCGUCGGAAUUGAGAAGCCCGACCCUAGAAUUUUUGAGAUUGCACUCAAGAAAGCUGGUGGAGUAGCCCCUGAGCAUGCUCUACACAUCGGAGACAGCCUUGUGAAGGACUAUCUUCCUGCUCGAGAACUUGGCAUGCACGCGAUGCUACUUGACAGAUUCAAAUCCAAGGAAGCCCGCGUUGCAAGGGAGGCUGGUGUGCCUGUGUUUCCUGACCUCUCAGAUGCACAAAACUUUAUUAUUUCGUGGCAAGAGCAAGUAAAACGUGCGUCAAUGAUUUAGCUAUCUUAGUUGUUUCUUGCCACGUUCCUUCAGACCAAACAAGUUUGUAUCAUACAAGAACGGAAUUUUAGUGUCUGCUUGGUAAAAUGAAGGAAUCACUUUUCAAGUCUAAGAUGUGCAGACAUGGGGUUGCGUGAGUCUUUUCUCCAUCAAGCGGCCAUGAAGAAGCAUAUCAAAAAUUUUGGACGACUGUAAAGGGCUAUUUCCAACCCUAGGAUGAAGACACUUGGUCUCGUAUUCAACAUGUGUAUUUACUGAUUGUAAAUGAGCGUCUCUCGUCGGCAUGUGCGUCCUGUUCGGAGAUAACCAAUCAUUCACCAAGGAUGGAUUUUCCACUUGCACCGAAAGCGUGAUGGGAAGGAAGUUCCGAGUUUACUCACAAGCUUAUUGUGGAGUCAAGGAAAACACCUUCACGACGAACUUUGACAGCCCUAUGAGGGAGAAAAGCAGCACGUCACCUACUUUUAAACCAUGUGCAAUUGAGAAUUCCUUCCACCCUCCACGAAAUUGCACUCUGUUCCCAUUACCGUUUACUCUAACGCUUAGUUUCACAACAACGAAAUUAGACCCUGGCCCAAGAAGAAACACGCUCGCUUGAAAUCUGUCGCCGUGCGCUCGCACGAAAUGAGAUGGCAAUUCCUGACAGCAUUACUCCGCAAAUCAACACUUUAUCAGCCCCAUAUGUGUUGAGUUGACAGGGUUAAUAAGGUUUAGAAUCACUAUCGUUGUGCAUACAAUCCGAAAGUCUAAAAUCAGGAACUGUACGACAUACGCCCAGCUUGCAAAUUGCAGAUAGGAUCUCAUCUCCAACACAGGUAGCGGAUUAAUCUUACCAGCCGUAAGUCGUCUCCGGCACCUUUCUGGGGAACAUUGAUUCCUGUUAGCUUCUUCGUGAACUGUGGGUAUCUGGAGUUCAAAUUGAUCGCAGAAUUGAGUCCUAGUGAAUUGUGGCAAAUAUCUUUUGACAGGAGAAGCGGAUUUAUUCCUUCGACGGAUUUGAUCUUCGCUCUCUCAGAAUAGGUCCACUGCAUCGGCUCCGCAUUCAAGCAGUUUUCUACUGCGUUCAGGUUGAUUCUACUAGGAGAUAGUGAGCUCGUUUGGUUAGAUGUAACCUCCGGCAGCGGAGGAGCUUCUGAGAUUACAGAGGGGCUGUCAAGCUGACUUUCAUGGUCUUUGCUGGACGAAAUGAGGUUUCCGAACACCGCCUCCUCGUGUGGUUGGGCACAGAGAAGGACACGAAAUCUUGACCUUGCUACCAGCUGGAAAAUGAUCCGGUCGCCCAUCUGUAAGCAAUUCUCCGUCACAAAGUAUUUCCAUCCAUGAGCCAUAAAAACGCUGACAUUUAGUCGGCCAUCCCUUCCAGCGCAGGUUCUCACUUUGAGCAUCACACGCAGCGGACAGCCGUUGGGUCCUGUCAACGAGAUCACUGAAUGAAGCAUAUUGCCGUGUUUGUUGAUGAAUUCGAUAGGAAUUACCUUCAUGCAGCAUUGACACGCACUUGUUAGUCUAUCUGAGCAGGUGCAUAAACAUGAAAGAGUUCAAAGGAUCGAAGAGAGAAAAGUACAGGCAAUACACAGACGAUUGCGGGAUCUCACCAGUCGGUCAUUUCUCUCCGUCAUCGCCCGUGUAAUCGUCUUCACAAAACAAGGUGCGUCGGAAUUCAGCACCAUGGUUUGCACAUCAAUGUUGCUCAGCGGAGGUGAAGCUCCUGUUCUAGACAUGAUUUACUACAUCUGUGUUAUCACUCCAUCCUAUGCAAAAGUACGCAGAUAUAGCAUUCCCACCUUCGCGUAUUACUUUCGAAGCUGACUUUCAGGUUCGUCAUGCUGGUGUAGCACGUCACAGCAAAAACAGAUUAGAUGUGUUUCUGAAGGUGCCAUUAACUCUACCAACAUGCGGCGUCAUCACAGACCUUGCACGGAAAUGUCGCACUCUGAUGUUUUCGAGUCGGACAUCAUGAUGAAAGUAUGCUUUUCAACUUCCGGAGGAAUUCAACUUUCCAGCAAAAAACUGCACUGAUGUACAUGUACUGAGACAUAACCAUGAAUGAACAUUAAAUGUUACAGCUUGCCGAGAAUAUAUUUCAGUGAAGAGUCUAAUCUCUUGCAACAGAAUAAACACAACUUUU